UGGGGAAUUUUGGGCAAUGGGGGAAACCCUGACCCAGCAACGCCGCGUGAAGGAUGAAGUAUUUCGGUAUGUAAACUUCGAAAGAAUAGGAAGAAUAAAUGACGGUACUAUUUAUAAGGUCCGGCUAACUACGUGCCAGCAGCCGCGGUAAUACGUAGGGACCAAGCGUUGUUCGGAUUUACUGGGCGUAAAGGGCGCGUAGGCGGCAUGACAAGUCACUUGUGAAAUCUCUGGGCUUAACCCAGAACGGCCAAGUGAUACUGUCGCGCUAGAGUGCAGAAGGGGCAAUCGGAAUUCUUGGUGUAGCGGUGAAAUGCGUAGAUAUCAAGAGGAACACCUGAGGUGAAGACGGGUUGCUGGGCUGACACUGACGCUGAGGCGCGAAAGCCAGGGGAGCAAACGUGAUUAGAUACCCAUGUAGUCCCUGAGCGGGCUGGCAAGGCGCAU
rnacentral:rRNA from 1 species